rnacentral:rRNA from 1 species
AGAGUUUGAUCCUGGCGUCAGGAUGAACGCUGGCGGCGUGCUUAACACAUGCAAGUCGAACGAGAACCAACGGAUUGAGGAUUCGUCCAAAUGAAGUUGGGGAAAGUGGCGGACGGGUGAGUAACGCGUGAGCAAUCUGCCUUGGAGUGGGGAAUAACGGUUGGAAACAGCCGCUAAUACCGCAUGACGCGUCUGGGAGGCAUCUCUCUGGACGCCAAAGAUUUAUCGCUCUGAGAUGAGCUCGCGUCUGAUUAGCUAGUUGGCGGGGCAACGGCCCACCAAGGCGACGAUCAGUAGCCGGACUGAGAGGUUGGCCGGCCACAUUGGGACUGAGACACGGCCCAGACUCCUACGGGAGUCAGCAGUGGGGAAUAUUGGGCAAUGGGCGCAAGCCUGACCCAGCAACGCCGCGUGAAGGAAGAAGGCUUUCGGGUUGUAAACUUCUUUUAAGGGGGACGAACAAAUGACGGUACCCCUUGAAUAAGCCACGGCUAACUACGUG